AGCAAGCUCAAGCUAUUAGAUCUACACAUCAAACACUAAAUUGGAUUAAUUUGUAUCCUUUUUUAGAAUUAACAUUCAUAGAACAACACUAAGCAAAAUGAACAAAUCAACGUGGAAUAAAACACCAUUCUCAAGCAAACCAAACACAGAAAUCGACAAAACUAAGCUAAUUAAUUCUCCAAUUCACAGAUCCAACAUAACCAUCGACGAAACAAACACAUAACCUUAAAAUCUAUUAGAUCCCACAACAAAUUAGCUGCGUUUCGUUCUACAUUAACAAUGAAUUUCACCAGAAACAAAUCCAAUUACAGAUUGAUCCAUGAAACAGCUCGCAGAACGGUAGACGAAGGAAAC